UAAAACCAGCUCAUAGAGUGGUGAUCAUGAUUAUUUGGCUUAAAGUGUGCGUAGCAGGGAAUUCUAAGUCCUCUGUGAAAUGCUAGGUCUUAAGCUUAGCACGUGCAGAGGAUACUGGAAUCCUUGGGACCGGGAUAGGUGUAAUGUACGGGUUGGGUAGGGGUGAAAUCCGAUAAUCCAAGCCGGACAACCGGUGGCGAAGGCGUUACACUGGAACGGGUCCGACUGUGAGGCACGAAAGCUAGGGUCGCGAGCCGGAUUAGAUACCCGGGUAGUCCUAGCUGUAAACGAUGCUCACUAAGUGUUAGGUAAUGCAAGACAUUCUCUAGUGCCGAAGCGAAAGCGUUAAGUGAGCCGCCUGGGAAGUACGUUCGCAAGAAUG
rnacentral:rRNA from 1 species